AUAAUCUCAUAUGAUCAAAAUAUAUCUGUCUGGUAACAAUACCUUCUCACAAGCUUAUAAGUUAUAACAUUUUCAUUUUAUACCGACUUAUAUCAUAUCGUUUUCUGAUAAGUUACUUCAAGCAGCAUUUGAACUUAUAGCUUAUAACUUAUCAUUUUCUCUCUCAAUUUUACCCUUAUUAUCUUGGUAAAUAUUAAAUUAAAAUAUAUUAUGUUACUUUAUAUUCAUCAGUAACUUCAAAUGUGAACCUUAACAAAUCAAUUUGCUACAUUAUCCGCUAUGAACUGUCAACUAGCUUAUCUAUUAUAAGUUCAUCCACUGUCACCUAUCCGCUACUUUUAACCAAACAGAA
rnacentral:lncRNA from 1 species